rnacentral:rRNA from 1 species
AGAGUUUGAUCCUGGCUCAGGAUGAACGCUAGCGACAGGCUUAACACAUGCAAGUCGAGGGGCAGCAGGGGAGUAGCAAUACUCCCGCUGGCGACCGGCGCACGGGUGAGUAACACGUAUGCAACCUGCCCUUGUCAGGGGGAUAAGCGGGAGAAAUUCCGUCUAAUACCGCAUAAUACCUUAUGGGGACAUCCUCAUGAGGUCAAAGAUUUAUCGGACAAGGAUGGGCAUGCGUCGCAUUAGUUAGUUGGCGGUGUAACGGACCACCAAGACGACGAUGCGUAGAGGUUCUGAGAGGAAGGUCCCCCACACUGGUACUGAGACACGGACCAGACUCCUACGGGAGGCAGCAGUGAGGAAUAUUGGUCAAUGGGCGGGAGCCUGAACCAGCCAAGUCGCGUGAGGGAAGACGGUCCUAAGGAUUGUAAACCUCUUUUGUCAGGGAGCAAGGACUGCCACGAGUGGCAGGGCGAGAGUACCUGAAGAAAAAGCAUCGGCUAACUCCGUGCCAGCAGCCGCGGUAAUACGGAGGAUGCGAGCGUUAUCCGGAUUUAUUGGGUUUAAAGGGUGCGCAGGCGGGAUGUCAAGUCAGCGGUCAAAUCGAGGGGCUCAACCCCUUUCCGCCGUUGAAACUGGCGUCCUAGAGUGGGCGAGAAGUACGCGGAAUGCGUGGUGUAGCGGUGAAAUGCAUAGAUAUCACGCAGAAACUCCGAUUGCGAAAGGCAGCGUACCGGCGCCCAACUGACGCUCAUGCACGAAAGCGUGGGUAUCGAACAGGAUUAGAUACCCUGGUAGUCCACGCAGUAAACGAUGAAUACUAACUGUCCGGCCCGAUCGGGGGCUGGGCGGUACAGCGAAAGCGUUAAGUAUUCCACCUGGGGAGUACGCCGGCAACGGUGAAACUCAAAGGAAUUGACGGGGGCCCGCACAAGCGGAGGAACAUGUGGUUUAAUUCGAUGAUACGCGAGGAACCUUACCCGGGCUCAAACGACGGAUGAAUGUUUUUGAAAGGAGGCAGCCCUUCGGGGCAUCCGUCGAGGUGCUGCAUGGUUGUCGUCAGCUCGUGCCGUGAGGUGUCGGCUUAAGUGCCAUAACGAGCGCAACCCCCAUCGCCAGUUACCAGCAAGUGAAGUUGGGGACUCUGGCGAGACUGCCGGCGCAAGCUGUGAGGAAGGCGGGGAUGACGUCAAAUCAGCACGGCCCUUACGUCCGGGGCGACACACGUGUUACAAUGGCAGGUACAGAGAGAUGCCACCUGGCGACAGAGAGCAGAGCUCGAAAGCCUGUCUCAGUUCGGAUCGGAGUCUGCAACCCGACUCCGUGAAGCUGGAUUCGCUAGUAAUCGCGCAUCAGCCAUGGCGCGGUGAAUACGUUCCCGGGCCUUGUACUCACC